AACUUGUGAUGUGGACAAGUACAUAACAAAUCCUUGAAUCUCUCCUAGUAAGCCUGAAAAGUCUCAUCACCCUUCUGCAUAAACUGAAUAAUCUGUUCUUGCAAAAAU